AGACUUGUAAUGAGGUUGAACUACCUACUCUUGAAAUGAACACUCUAUCCCAGUCUGAAGUGCGAGACGUAGAGAAGGUGUCUCCUGAGAUGGACCAAUUAUCAUUGGAGAAUCAAGACCGUGUUGAGAAGGAUAUGGUGAAGAUCUCAUCUGUCGAAGAGCAUGUUUUAAAUGGGGAGCAGAGCUUUUGUGCACCCACUGAAGCAGUUGAGGAGAUAACUCCUAAGACCCAGCUGUCAUCAGACACCAAUGAUUGUGG